rnacentral:hammerhead_ribozyme from 1 species
GGGCGAAACCCGGUGGUGAGCCGGGUCGCGGGGGAGUGGUGUCCCCCGCCUGACGAUGCCAGCCAAAU